UACAGAGGUCUCGAGCGUUGUUCGGAUUCAUUGGGCGUAAAGGGCGCGUAGGCGGCGGGGUAAGUCUGGUGUGAAAUCUCGGAGCUCAACUCCGAAAUUGCACUGGAUACUGCUCUGCUAGAGGGCUGGAGAGGAGGAUCGGAAUUCACGGUGUAGCAGUGAAAUGCGUAGAUAUCGUGAGGAAGACCAGUGGCGAAGGCGGAUCUCUGGACAGCUCCUGACGCUGAGGCGCGAAGGCGUAGGGGAGCAAACGGG
rnacentral:rRNA from 1 species